rnacentral:rRNA from 1 species
AUUUUGGACAAUGGGGGAAACCCUGAUCCAGCCAUCCCGCGUGUGCGAUGAAGGCCUUCGGGUUGUAAAGCACUUUUGUCUGGGAAGAAAUCGUACAGGCUAAUAUCCUGUGCGGAUGACGGUACCUGAAGAAUAAGCCCCGGCUAACUACGCUCCAGCAGCCGCGGUAAUACGUAGGGUGCAAGCGUUAAUCGGAAUUACUGGGCGUAAGGAGUGCGCAGGAGGUUUAUCAAGAAAGGUGUGAAAACCCCGGGCUUAACCUGGGAAGGGCACUUUUAACUGAUAGGCUAGAGUAUGUCAGAGGGGGGUAGAAUUCCACGUGUAGCAGUGAAAUGCGUAGAUAUGUGGAGGAAUACCGAUGGCGAAGGCAGCCCCCUGGGAUAAUACUGACGCUCAGACGCGAAAGCGUGGGGAGCAAACA